UACAGAGGUCUCAAGCGUUGUUCGGAUUCAUUGGGCGUAAAGGGUGCGUAGGCGGCGCGGUAAGUCGGGUGUGAAAUCUUGGAGCUUAACUCCGAAACUGCAUUCGAUACUGCCGUGCUUGAGGACUGGAGAGGAGACUGGAAUUUACGGUGUAGCGGUGAAAUGCGUAGAUAUCGUAAGGAAGACAAGUGGCGAAGGCGGGUCUCUGGACAGUUCCUGACGCUGAGGCACGAAGGCCAGGGGAGCAAACGGG
rnacentral:rRNA from 1 species